rnacentral:sRNA from 1 species
ACAGAGCCGACCAUCUCCCACUCGAGCUGCCCCCGCCCUCUGGACCCGAGUGACUCAGGCCUUUGUUUGUCCUUCCUGGUAGAGGCGGGUUCCCUCCCUCGGCAAGAUGCCGGAGUGCUGGGAUGGGGAACAUGACAUCGAGACACCCUACGGCCUUCUGCAUGUAGUGAUCCGGGGCUCCCCCAAGGGGAACCGCCCAGCCAUCCUCACCUACCAUGAUGUGGGCCUCAACCGUAAGUGCAGCCCAGCCUCAGUCAGCCCUCCUCUGCCUCCAAUCAGCCAGAGCGGUGAGGCCCCCCACCCUCCCCACAGGGCCCUGUCAACCCCACUCACACUUACCUCUGUUGCCUUCGCCCUCCGGGCCUCCAUUUCCCCGAUGGACCCAAGGCUGACACUUCUGCCUUGCCUGCCCUCUGGGGGCCCGGCCUUCCUUCCAGUCCCCCGGCCCCUCUGCUCAGCCAUAGUGGAAGUGUGUCUUUGCAGACAAACUAUGCUUCAACACCUUCUUCAACUUCGAGGACAUGCAGGAGAUCACCAAGCACUUUGUGGUGUGUCACGUGGAUGCCCCUGGACAACAGGUGGGGGCGUC